rnacentral:lncRNA from 1 species
AUGUGGGCAUCUGGAGACCCUUGGCCUUGUUGCUUCACUUAUCCGCAUCACCUUCUGAAAUCAAGAUACUUCAUCAAGUCAGUGAAGCUCAGGAUUGACCAACAGAUGCAUGAACAGGAGCUGGAAAAAAUUAUGGAAGAGAGACUGGAAGAGCGAUGGCUGGUGUGCAGAGCCUGCAUCACAUCUCUAUGGGGACUGUGCCAGAUCAGCCCCCUCUGUAAGGCUCCAGGUUCCCAGUGCUCCAUCACUUGCUCUGGCUUUGGGGGAUUGUAGCAGGUGUCGCUAACAUCGUGCCCACAUUCUCUGGCCCAUCUUGGAGUUAUUUUUGGAGAUAUUUUCCAAGAUAAAAAUGUGAGUGUAGAGGAGCCUGCUGUCUCCCUUGGAAAAGCAUGCACCUCUUGAUCUACCUACUACUACCCUGC